rnacentral:misc_RNA from 1 species
UCAACUAAUGGAUCUUUAUCAGUGAAAAAUGAACAUAUUGGUACUUCCCCUACAACUGAAACAGUAAAACCAGCAUAAAAACCGCCAGUGAUUUUCCAUACACAAUAGUAAACUCACAAUAUUAAUGCUAAAAGAUAUAUAAAUUACGCUAUGUGACGACAGAAACAUUAAAGAGUAGGAUGAAAGCUCACCACCGUAAUUAUAAAUAAAGUCCAAUUACAAGGCACAGAAAGAUGCUGCACCUUUGACAGCAUCCUGAGAUUCAAACUACGUACGAACCCUGCUGCUUUCUCCAUUUCUAAUCGGAUAGAAAUAAGGAUGGGCCAUUGCUUCCUUUGCAGUUGGCCUUUCUUGGUGGUCAUAUCGCAGCAACUUGUCAAGGAAGUCAACAGCCUCCGGUACUGCCAAAUGCUGAUUGUCAACAUUUAUAAACUUCGUCCAUGGUUUCCGGCUGUGCCUGCCAACUAGGGCUGCAAGAUGAGG